rnacentral:rRNA from 1 species
UUGAGCUCGGAUCAGGUAG